rnacentral:rRNA from 1 species
GACGAACGCUGGCGGCGUGCCUAAUACAUGCAAGUAGAACGCACAGUUUAUACCGUAGCUUGCUACACCAUAGACUGUGAGUUGCGAACGGGUGAGUAACGCGUAGGUAACCUGCCUGGUAGCGGGGGAUAACUAUUGGAAACGAUAGCUAAUACCGCAUAAUAUUAAUUAUUGCAUGAUAAUUAAUUGAAAGGUGCAAUUGCACCACUACCAGAUGGACCUGCGUUGUAUUAGCUAGUAGGUGAGGUAACGGCUCAACUAGGCGACGAUACAUAGCCGACCUGAGAGGGUGAUCGGCCAAACUGGGACUGAGACACGGCCCAGACUCCUACGGGAGGCAGCAGUAGGGAAUCUUCGGCAAUGGACGAAAGUCUGACCGAGCAACGCCGCGUGAGUGAAGAAGGUUUUCGGAUCGUAAAGCUCUGUUGUAAGAGAAGAACGGGUGUGAGAGUGGAAAGUUCACACUGUGACGGUAUCUUACCAGAAAGGGACGGCUAACUACGUG